CUACGGGGUGCUCCAGUGAGGAAUAUUGCACAAUGGGGGGAACCCUGAUGCAGCAACGCCGCGUGGAGGAUGACGCAUUUCGGUGUGUAAACUCCUUUUAUAUGUCAAGAAAAUGACGGUAGCAUAUGAAUAAGCACCGGCUAACUCCGCGCCAGCAGCCGCGGUAAUACGGAGGGUGCAAGCGUUACUCGGAAUCACUGGGCGUAAAGGACGCGUAGGCGGGUUGGAAAGUCAGGUGUGAAAUCCUACAGCUAAACUGUAGAACUGCACUUGAAACUUCUAAUCUAGAGUAUGGGAGGGGGAGGUGGAAUUAGUGGUGUAGGGGUAAAAUCCGUAGAUAUCACUAGGAAUACCUAAAGCGAAGGCGAUCUCCUGGAACAUUACUGACGCUAAGGCGUGAAAGCGUGGGGGGCAAACAGGAUUAGAUACCCGCGUAGUC
rnacentral:rRNA from 1 species